rnacentral:sRNA from 1 species
CUGGAACCUCUCGGGGUUACAGCCUUGCUGAAUUAUUCACCCUUGUCUUUUGCGUACUUCUUGUUUCCUUGGUGGGUUCGCCCACCACUAGGACAAACAUAAACCUUUUGUAAUUGCAAUCAGCGUCAGUAACAAAUUAAUAAUUACAACUUUCAACAACGGAUCUCUUGGUUCUGGCAUCGAUGAAGAACGCAGCGAAAUGCGAUAAGUAGUGUGAAUUGCAGAAUUCAGUGAAUCAUCGAAUCUUUGAACGCACAUUGCGCCCUUUGGUAUUCCAAAGGGCAUGCCUGUUCGAGCGUCAUUUGUACCCUCAAGCUUUGCUUGGUGUUGGGCGUCUUGUCUCUAGCUUUGCUGGAGACUCGCCUUAAAGUAAUUGGCAGCCGGCCUACUGGUUUCGGAGCGCAGCACAAGUCGCACUCUCUAUCAGCAAAGGUCUAGCAUCCAUUAAGCCUUUUUUUCAACUUUUGACCUCGGA